GGGCGAAUGGUUUAGUGGUAUAAUACUCCCUUAGCAUGAUUCGUUCUGCCUCAACUGGGAGUGGUCCAGGGUUCGAUUCCCUGUUCGUCCA
rnacentral:tRNA from 1 species